UAUAUGCUAUCUCUAAGGCUCCCGCCUAACGUGGCGGGUCAAUACGUCAGGCGCCGACUUAACAUUAUCGCGCUAACACUAUACCGUAAGAUGACCGAGGUAUAUAGCCAUCUGUAAGCCUGUAUUGUAACCUUAAGCGUCCAACCCUUAAGCUCGUCACUCAGUGUAUGAAUCACAUAUAUAAUCCGAAAGUGACGCGAAUGGGCGGUUAAAUGGGAAUUCCUUGGGAAAGUAUAACAUGGGUAAGAAAUCGCAAAAUGAACGACCGCUGUCCUAUACCGUUUCAUGUUCCUAACGUUCAGGGCUCGGAAAGCGGUAGCAAAGCCAAAACGGAUUAAGAUAGCCCGUGUAGUCCCACGCCCCUAAACAUCGUAAUGCUUGGAUGUCAAGUUUUGAACUUUACUUAGCUUUUAGCUUUUAAAACUUCAAAACUUGGUGUCGAAGCUAACGCGUUAAGCAGACCGCGUGAGAAGUACGGACCGCAAGGCUAAAACUCAAAGGAAUUGACGGGCUCCCGCACAAGCGGUGGAGCGCAUGGCCUAAUUCGAUGAUGAACGAAGAACCUUACCAAGGCUUGAAAUCCCACCUAUGUGUUGGAUUAAUCUCCAAUUCUUAGUGGUGGUGACAGGUCCUGCAUGGCUGUCGUCAGCUCGUGCCGUGAGGUGUACGGUUAAGUCCGGUAACGAGCGCAACCCAUAUAUCAUGUUACAUGUGUCUUGAGAAACUGCCCCCGUAAAACAGGGGGGAAGGGGGGGAUGAUGUCUAGUCAGCAUUAUCCUUAUGUGUUGGGCUGCACGUCCGCUACAAAGGAUAGUGGCAGGCAGCAGUAAGCAAAUCCCUUAAAGCUAGCCCAGGUUGGGGAGAGGGCUGCAACCCGCCCUCUGAAGCGGAAUCGCUAGUAAUCGUGGGUCAGCAUACCACGGUGAAUACGUUCUCGGGAGUUGUACUCACCGCCCGUC
rnacentral:rRNA from 1 species